rnacentral:misc_RNA from 1 species
GCAAAGCUUAAAGAACUGGAGAGAGAGAAAGAGAGCUAUCACUUCGGAAAUAUGACGCUCAGAUCAUAUCAGCUGGUGGUUCAGUUGCUGAGGAGAGUGGUGCAUAAAUAGUGAAGGUAUUGGCGUGCCUCAAUCUAAAUACAUGGUUAGAUGAUAUCUAUUAGCCAAGUAAUUUGAUUGAGCCGCGUCAAUAUCUCUUUCUAGCUCCUCUCUCCUUUCCUCUUCUUCAUAAUUUCUUGGGAGGGGAAUCCAGAAAAGACAAAAUGGGAUCAGCUAGUCUGCCUCACUAUUCUUGGCCAUAGAACGUCCUGCAUAUCCGAAUGAAGACAGUCCAUCACCUCACUGGGAGGAUUCAACAUAACGUGCACCCCAAAUAAGAGGAAAUUGUAAGAUUAGCUAGCUAGCUUAUCUGCAACCAUAUUCACUUCCCUAUAGCAAUGACGGAUCCUCAAUUGCCAAGCCCUCCCUUUGAUCAACCAACUCUAAGCCAAACACUUGAGCAAGGUUGGGUGACAAGUUCUUGUGAAGGAAUUUAUGAACUUUGGGGUGAGAAUUCAAGGAAUUAGCAAGGUUGAAGAAUGACAACAAUGGAGGGAGGUGAGAGGUGUGUUUCGGCCAAAAGAAGGAAAUGAAGAAGAUGCAUAAAUUUUUGUUUAAUCUUAUCUCUUUUAUUGACUUUUAUGUGUAUUUAUUGAAUGGUAAUUGGUGGAUAAAUUUUUAAUGACAUCAUAAUGAUGU